rnacentral:siRNA from 1 species
CUAUGGUGUUCUACAUGUUGUC